rnacentral:rRNA from 1 species
AUUGAACGCUGGCGGAAUGCUUUACACAUGCAAGUCGAACGGCAGCACGGACUUCGGUCUGGUGGCGAGUGGCGAACGGGUGAGUAAUACAUCGGAACGUGCCCAGUCGUGGGGGAUAACGUAGCGAAAGCUACGCUAAUACCGCAUACGAUCUAAGGAUGAAAGCGGGGGAUCGCAAGACCUCGCGCGAUUGGAGCGGCCGAUGGCAGAUUAGGUAGUUGGUAGGGUAAAGGCCUACCAAGCCGACGAUCUGUAGCUGGUCUGAGAGGACGACCAGCCACACUGGGACUGAGACACGGCCCAGACUCCUACGGGAGGCAGCAGUGGGGAAUUUUGGACAAUGGACGCAAGUCUGAUCCAGCCAUUCCGCGUGCAGGAUGAAGGCCCUCGGGUUGUAAACUGCUUUUGUACAGAACGAAAAGGCUCUAACACAGUCCGGGAAUGACGGUACCUGAAGAAUAAGCACCGGCUAACUACGUGCCAGCAGCCGCUGUAA